UACGUAGGGUGCAAGCGUUGUCCGGAAUUAUUGGGCGUAAAGAGCUCGUAGGCGGUCUGUCGCGUCGAUCGUGAAAACUUGGGGCUUAACCCUGAGCUUGCGGUCGAUACGGGCAUGACUGGAGUUCGGCAGGGGAGACUGGAAUUCCUGGUGUAGCGGUGAAAUGCGCAGAUAUCAGGAAGAACACCAAUGGCGAAAGGCAGCUCUCUGGGGACGGUACUGACGCUGAGACGCGAAAAGCGUGGGGGAGCGAACAGG
rnacentral:rRNA from 1 species